rnacentral:piRNA from 1 species
UCAUGGAGCUGGACCUACGGCUUCACUGU